rnacentral:rRNA from 1 species
GAUCAUGGCUCAGGAUGAACGCUGGCGGCAUGCUUAACACAUGCAAGUCAAACGGGAAGUGGUGUUUCCAGUGGCGAACGGGUGAGUAAUGCGUAAGAACCUGCCCUUGGGAGGGGAACAACAGCUGGAAACGGUUGCUAAUACCCCAUAGAAUUGAGUACCUCUACGAGGUAGGCUGAGGAGCAAAAGGGAGGAAUCCGCCUAAGGAGGGGCUCACGUCUGAUUAGCUAGUUGGUGAGGCAAUGG